ACUAACAUGCUCUGCAAUGGGAUAGGAUCCGACGCCCCAUUGAGGGAUAAUAUAGGCUCUCGUAUCCAACUCCUAUCCAGACUUGUCCUUGUCAAGCAGAGUGGUAACACGGCAUCUACACUGAUCAGCCAACCGUACCGCACCGAACCCGUUUGUUUUGAUUUUGUAUGGA
rnacentral:ribozyme from 1 species